rnacentral:rRNA from 1 species
AGGAUGAACGCUAGCUACAGGCUUAACACAUGGCAAGUCGAGGGGCAGCAUAUCGAAAGCUUGCUUUUGAUGAUGGCGACCGGCGCACGGGUGCGUAACGCGUAUGCAACCUACCCACUACAGGGGGAUAACGGAGGGAAACUUCCACUAAUAUCCCAUGGUGUCACCGAAUCGCAUGGUUUGGUGACUAAAGCUUCGGUGGUAGUGGAUGGGCAUGCGUGACAUUAGGUAGUUGGCGGGGCAACGGCCCACCAAGCCGACGAUGUCUAGGGGAGCUGAGAGGCUUAUCCCCCACACUGGUACUGAGACACGGACCAGACUCCUACGGGAGGCAGCAGUGAGGAAUAUUGGUCAAUGGACGGAAGUCUGAACCAGCCAUGCCGCGUGGAGGAAGAAGGUCCUAUGGGUUGUAAACUCCUUUUGUUCCAGAGUAAUAAGGGCUUUGCGAAGACCGAUGAGAGUAUGGGACGAAUAAGCAUCGGCUAACUCCGUGCC